rnacentral:misc_RNA from 1 species
AACGCAAGUUUCGCCCCAAGCCUUCUGGCCGAGGGCACGUCUGCCUGGGUGUCACAAAUCGUCGUCCCCCCAUCCUCUCGAGGAUAUGGGACGAAAGCUGAUCUCCCGUGUGUUAACGCACGCGGUUGGCCAAAAUCCAAGCUAAGGACGCCAGGAGCGUCUUGACAUGCGGUGGUGAAUUCAAUUCUCGUCAUAUUGUCAGACGUUCUGGUCCAAAAGCUCUUGAUAACCCAAAAUCCUCAACGCGACUCCAGGUCAGGCGGGAUCACCCGCUGAGUUUAA